UAGAGCUAAUACAUGCUAAAAAUCCCGACUUCGGAAGGGAUGUAUUUAUUAGAUAAAAAACCAAUGCCCUUCGGGGCUCCUUGGUGAUUCAUAAUAACUCAACGAAUCGCAUGGCCUUGCGCCGGCGAUGGUUCAUUCAAAUUUCUGCCCUAUCAACUUUCGAUGGUAGGAUAGUGGCCUACCAUGGUCUCAACGGGUAACGGGGAAUUAGGGUUCGAUUCCGGAGAGGGAGCCUGAGAAACGGCUACCACAUCCAAGGAAGGCAGCAGGCGCGCAAAUUACCCAAUCCCGAUACGGGGAGGUAGUGACAAUAAAUACUGAUACAGGGCUCUUUUGGGUCUUGUAAUUGGAAUGAGUACAAUCUAAAUCCCUUAACGAGGAACAAUUGGAGGGCAAGUCUGGUGGACGCGAGUUCCUAGUCGACAUGGUUAUGUCGAAGUUCUAGUUGCUUAUCGCCAGAAAGAGGCCGCUCUCCCGUUGCGUAGGAUGUAGGAAAAAGGCCUAGUCGAGCACCCCACGCUGAUGCGGGCGGAAAAUGUCCUUUCCCCCCGGCUGAAGUGGAAUACCUAGAGGGUAUUUUAGAGGGGUGUCGGCGACACAACCUGGUUCAGGGAAGCCCGACCUCUGAUGGGUAAUGCCUACAGAGAGGGUAAUCCUGAGGCGAGUCACCCCCCCAAGCGUGGUGACCGUCGCAGAGCAUGCCAAGGUGUGGGUUCUGCUUCGGCAGAGCUUAAGGUACAUGCCGAGUCCCCCCGAGAGGGGGGCCGUCGUAUCUUCUGUCUGGUGACCGCAGGUGGUGCGGCCGCUGGUCAGGGACGGUCCGAGUGCCUCUAGCACGAAGGUCGGCGGGUUGAGAGCCAACAAAAUCGGACGGGGCGUUUUGAAAGCCCCUCUCCGAUGGACCGAUACCGCACCCGUUCUGGGUGUGCUCUCAAUGGUAGGAUAAGGGAGUCUGGGGGGGAUUAUUGUUUGCCCCACACGCCGUCAGAGCGCCUAAUCAUGAACGCGACCGCCCACCCGUGCCCUGGUCCCGGGGCGUGGGAGGACGAUCGUCCCGCCUCGCGGGAGCGCACGGCAGGGGGGGCAACGAGGUCCCCUCCCCCAAUCCGAACUGGCCAGCAGCCGCGGUAAUUCCAGCUCCAAUAGCGUAUAUUAAAGUUGUUGCCGUUAAAAAGCUCGUAGUUGAACCUUGGGCCUGGCUGAUCUGUCCUCCUAAUCGAGCGCACGGAUUCGGUCGGGUCUUUCCUUCUGGGGAGCCGCAUGCCCUUCACUGGGCGUGUCGGGGAACCAGGACUUUUACCUUGAAAAAAUUAGAGUGUUCAAAGCAGGCCUUUGCUCGAAUACAUUAGCAUGGAAUAAUAGAAUAGGACGGAGGUUCUAUUUUGUUGGUUUCUAGGACCGCCGUAAUGAUUAAUAGGGAUAGUCGGGGGCGUCCGUAUUCAAUUGUCAGAGGUGAAAUUCUUGGAUUUAUUGAAGACGAACUACUGCGAAAGCAUUCGCCAAGGAUGUUUUCAUUAAUCAGUGAACGAAAGUUAGGGGAUCGAAGACGAUCAGAUACCGUCGUAGUCUUAACCAUAAACUAUGCCGACUANNNNNNNNNNNNNNNNNNNNNNNNNNNNNNNNNNNNNNNNNNNNNNNNNNCUGAACUUAAGAAUUGACGGAAGGGCACCACAAGGCGUAAACCCAAGCCUACCAAGCCGUAGACUCUGCGCCGGAAAGCGGGUGCGUAAGCACGGUGGUCGCCCCUGUUCCCACGCUAGUAGCCCUCCCCCGAGACAUCGGUCCCGGGGGGGCAGGCUGCGAGACUGUCAAACUGCGGGAAAGUUCUGUAAAAAGUCGGUGGUACGAAGCUGGUUUGGUGAUGAACCGCCAGUGGCCAGGGAGAAAAGCCCUGGGUAGCGUAACAAGCCUCGACCUGGGAUUAUCCGCAUCCAAGCGCCCGCUCCUCUGUAAAGGAAGGGUGAAGGUUCAGAGACUACAUGGCAGUCGGUGAAGCCUCCUCCCAGGGGCUUUGCCUAAGAUAUAGUCCAAUCCCAUUGGGAAACCUCUGGGUAGCUUUACAUGUAGCAGCUUACCACUUAGAAAUGGGAGCCUGCGGCUUAAUUUGACUCAACACGGGGAAACUCACCAGGUUAACAUCAUGUCUGGGCCUGGAAUAGUAUACAUCACAUCAGGGCGAUGUGGUGGUGCUAGUAUACCGUCUCGUAGCUGCACGGGGUAGUCCCCAAUUUCGGGUGCAGGGGUGAUUUGCAGCUGUAGAUCACCAGACGGAUGCGACACCAGCUGGUACAGGGAACGCCUUCAAUGAUCAUGUAAAAUUGAUUUACAGGCCGAUCCUGUGGCGAGCCAGGGUAACGCCUGGCCGUCGCAACGCGCGCUAAGCGGUGGGUGAAUCACCUUUCGGUGGUUUGCUUAAGGGACGUGCUGGCCCAUGGGAUGAUAAACCAUGCCACGAUGCAGGAGGGCCGAAAUACCAAAUCAUCGUGGGCAGCCCAGAUGGGUAUGAAUGAACAUAAUUCCUACCCAUCUAGGCUGUGGAAUGUGGGGAUGGACCAUCCCCCUGGCAAAAACGCCAGACAUGCUUAGGAUUGACAGAUUGAUAGCUCUUUCUUGAUUGUAUGGGUGGUGGUGCAUGGCCGUUUUUAGUUGGUGGAGUGAUUUGUCUGCUUAAUUGCGAUAACGAACGAGACCUUGACCUGCUAAAUAGCCCAACCCACUUGGUNNNNNNNNNNNNNNNNNNNNNNNNNNNNNNNNNNNNNNNNNNNNNNNNNNAACUUAAGGAAUUGACGGAAGGGCACCACCAGGAGUGGAGCCUGCGGCUUAAUUUGACUCAACACGGGGAAACUCACCAGGUCCAGACAUAACUAGGAUUGACAGAUUGAUAGCUCUUUCAUGAUUUUAUGGGUGGUGGUGCAUGGCCGUUCUUAGUUGGUGGAGUGAUUUGUCUGGUUAAUUCCAAUAACGAACGAGACCUUACCCUGCUAAAUAGCCAGGCCGGCUUUGGCUGGUCGCCGGCUUCUUAGAGGGACUGUCACCGUCUAGCUGACGGAAGUUUGAGGCAAUAACAUGUCUGUGAUGCCCUUAGAUGUUCUGGGCCGCACGCGCGCUACACUGACAGAGCCAGCGAGUUCAUCACCUUGGCCGGAAGGUCUGGGUAAUCUUGUGAAACUCUGUCGUGCUGGGGAUAGAGCAUUGCAAUUAUUGCUCUUCAACGAGGAAUUCCUAGUAAGCGUGAGUCAUCAGCUCGCGUUGAUUACGUCCCUGCCCUUUGUACACACCGCCCGUCUCUACUACCGAUUGAAUGGCUUAGUGAGGUCUUGGGAUUGGCUUUAAGGAGCCGGCAACCGCACCUUG
rnacentral:rRNA from 1 species